UUAAUGUACUGUCAGCCUUGGACUUUGUUGUGGUUGUAAGCGGGUGUCCCAGAGGAAGGGAACUGCUUGGCACGUGUUCUCUCUCCUGUCCUCCUUCUAACCCUGGCCACAAAGCAGCGAGGUCUGUCAGGUUUUUAUCCAGCUUGCAGGUAAAGGGUUACAGAUUCUAGGAAGUAUUAAAUGCAAACUUUAAAGGAUUUUAUUUUCAUCUGCAGUCACAUGACACCCUAAUACCCAAUGACACUAACUACAGUGUCUCAUUAAGAGGUCAUGCGAACUCCCAAGCUAAACAAGGCAUUCUUACAUAUUUAACAUUCAAAUGCAGAAGCCACGCUAAGCCAUGGAAGAUUGCAAUCAGAAAAAAGCUACACUUCCUGAUCAGCACAGAAGCUACAGGUUCUUUAAAGAGGAGACAGAUUGCUAGCAUUUUGGGCUGAAAUCUGGAGGUUAUUUGGGAAUGUGAAAGCUCCUUGCUGCUUGGGUCCAUGACAAACACGCAGAUGCGAUUCAUGCACUGGAACAACCCGCACCACCAUGGUAAGCCGUGCUCCAACAGCUGGGGCCCGGGUCAUUUGUAGUUGUGUCCUGCAAUGUAUUGGAGUGAGUGGGUGUGUGAGGUUUUGUGCUUCUCUCCCAGAAACAAUAAUAUGAAAAGUAUUAAACAAUGUAAGAGAGCAGGAUGUGGCGACAUUCCUUGAUUUAUGAGCACUGUUAUACACAUCAGACAAGUAUUAAGUUUCCAAGAAUAUCUCAAAAGGGAUGUUGCUAAGCAAAGAUGAUGGUACAAAAGAGUAGUUAGUUAAGAUGUCUGAGUGUAAUUUGCAGGAACAAGAACCAUUUUCCAAGCUAUCACUACGUAAAAGAGGAGAAAGCUCCAAAUACAAUGAAAAGAGGAUAUUUUUAACUCAUGUUUCGGUAUAAACAUAGACUGGUU
rnacentral:lncRNA from 1 species